UGCGAACUCCUACGGGAGGCAGCAGUGGGGAAUAUUGGACAAUGGGCGAAAGCCUGAUCCAGCCAUGCCGCGUGUGUGAAGAAGGCCUUUUGGUUGUAAAGCACUUUAAGUGGGGAGGAAAAGUUGACGGUUAAUACCCGCCAGCCCUGACGUUACCCACAGAAUAAGCACCGGCUAACUCUGUGCCAGCAGCCGCGGUAAUACAGAGGGUGCAAGCGUUAAUCGGAAUUACUGGGCGUAAAGCGAGCGUAGGUGGUCAUUUAAGUCAGAUGUGAAAUCCCCGGGCUUAACCUGGGAACUGCAUCUGAUACUGGGUGACUAGAGUAGGUGAGAGGGAAGUAGAAUUCCAGGUGUAGCGGUGAAAUGCGUAGAGAUCUGGAGGAAUACCGAUGGCGAAGGCAGCUUCCUGGCAUCAUACUGACACUGAGGUUCGAAAGCGUGGGUAGCAAACAGGAUUAGAUACCCUUGUAGUCCAGAAGUG
rnacentral:rRNA from 1 species